GGGCUGUUACCUAAGGUUAGUCUUCCGAAACUUACUUUGUCUGAUUUUGUGGCGGAUCAUUCGUGGAAAGUUGUGAAGAGAAAGAAGCGACGGUGGCUUCCGGCGGCGCAGGCGCCGGCGCUGGCGGUCGACCGAUCUGCCGUGAUCCGUGAAGCACGGAUCGCGCGUUUGAAUUCGCUAUUGGGCCCUGAGGAGCUUGUGGCUGCGGUGAGAGGUUCGGGUGGGCCGUCGAUUGGGCUUUCGGCCGAGCGGGAGUCAUUGCAGUCUGGACCGGGACUAGCUGGGCAUGAGGCCCAGGAAAAACCGAUUCCGACUGUAGUCGACGUCCUUCCUGUAUGCACGACCAUCUCCUCCCAUCGUGAAGCUAUGCCGCCGCCUAGGGUUCGACGCAGUGUUGUCCCUGGGUUCCCGUCGUGCCCGGCGGGACGUGCGGCGCGCAUCCCUCCCCUAGCCGCGUGCAUGGCGGGUGGUGGAGCCAGACCGCCGGGGCCCAAGCCGGUGGCGCCCAGGUCUUCUAUGCCGCCUUGUCCGUUGGUCCAGCAGCAGUUCCCUCGGGUGCGGGGGCCUCGACCCAGUUGCCCCGCGCAGCGCCGGCCGCUCCAAGACGCGGUGGAGGCCAGCUUGGGCAGAGACCGCCGGCGCAAGGACAGGCUGCGGUGGUUGCCGCGGGUCGGGGAGGGGCUGCUAUUGGGCCGCAGCCAACGCCGUAGGGUCCGGUUGCGGUGGGUGAUGUGGGACAUGGCGGCGCUGCGCACGGGCCACGUCCGCCGACGCCUGGGUCUGCCGUCGUGUCUAGUCAGGCGCCCGGCCAUCAGCCUCGGGCUGCGCCGCCGAUGCAUCACGUCGCGAGGCCACUGCAGAAGCGUCCUGGACCGACGCAGACACAUACACCGCCGCCUCAGUCUGGUGCUGGGGGUGCGGGUUUGCCCCGUGGCCCAGCCAACAGUGGUGCUAACGGACUGCCCCGGGGACAAUGUGGUGACGAUGGUUACAAUGCGUAUGGUGAAGGCUAACAUCGUGGUUCAUCAUCGUCGGGUGGCGGCCGUGGUUAUGCUUGGCAGAGCAAUGGUUCAGCUGAGAGACCUUUUUACGGCCCUCCGAGUGGCUUUGUUGAGGGGGCAUCAGGCCCUGACUACCCACAGCAAGGUGACUACCGUGGUCAUCGUGGCCGAGGUGGCCGGUACUGGCAGCGUGAGCCUCCUCCGCCUGUCAUCAUUGAGCAGACGGACUCCGAGGAGGCGGCUGAUCCCAGUCAGACGCCAGAGCUGUCAGGUCAGGCUAUGGAGGUGGUGCCCCGCUGGCUACGGCUGAGACCAUAGCGACGGGUUCGGUCGUGGUUGCAGACAAGGCAGACUCUGAUAGAGUGUCCAAGUGGGCCGUGAUAUCUUUCCCUACUAAUAAAGCAGCGACUGCUUCUGGUCGUCCGUCAUUAGUACUUUUGCAUAAAAGCCCCUAAAGUUUGUAUGAAUCAACCCGCAGUCCUGAUGAGGUCAACCCGACGAGCGAUAGAAAAAAAACUCCAAAUCGCAUCACCGUCUCCAGCGUGCCGCUACCCCCUGCCGCGAGCCGAUGCCCCCAGCCCCGCCGCAGCGCGCCGCCACAGCCUACCCUGUCGGGACUCCUACCCCUACCCCAACUGCCCCCCACGCCUGCGGCGUUCUACCGUCGGCGACACUCGACGCCGCGGCCGUUGCCGGCUCCCACACCCGCGGGCCUCCGUCUCCCCUGCCGCCGCCGCCGCCCCGCUUGUCUAGCGGGCCGGCCCUGUCCAUGGGGCGCAGGGGCUACCAGCGCCCUCCCACGCCCGUGCGCGCCUCCUUCUGCCCUUCCGCCACGGACGACGUCGUGUCCUGCAGCCUCCACGAAUACGUCCUCCAUCCUGACCGACUUCUCUGAGCCUAAUGCGAUCCCGGUGGUGGCCGCGCCCUGCUCGGCCCGCCGUCCUGCCGUGGCAGGCGCCUGUCGUCGGAGCUCUGGUCGUUGGUUCCAGAGUCGGGCGGUUCCACACGGGGGGCGCCUAUCCCGCUGUGCCACUGAUCACUUAAUUCGGCUCUCUCGACUGAUGCAUAUAAUAUGCUUAAUUAUGUUGUGAUUUUUCUGUACCAAUGAAUGAUCAGGGUGAGUGGUUAAAAUAUUUGUUGGCACACGUGGUUGUGUUAGUGAGAGGUCAAUCCGCAUCCUUUUCCACUAAUUAGCGUGAUUUUGAUAAGUUCAGAUUCUGAGAAAGAGAAGAAAGCCUCAGGGGACAGAGUAUUCAGGAGGACACCAAUGCAAAUCUAUGGUGUUUGAGGCAGCUUGAAAGAAGGUUUGCUGCAAGGAAGAGAUAGAAAGAGCGAAAUAGAGAGGGCAGGGGCGUGAUCUGUUGUAAGUAUGAAGUGAAGUAAUCCUUCCUGUCCUGCUGUUUGUUUUCGCAAGUCUGUUUUGCACAACUCUGUUUGCAGUGCGUGCAGUAACUGAUCGAUUGCGUUUUGAGGGUUCUAGGUGUCGAAUAUGACCGGGCCAUUAAAAUAAAAGUUGUAUAUCUUUUCAAGACCUUUCCAACGAAUAUUUAUUUGCUUUUUUCGUCAGGUAUUCUAGGAGAUAAUGGCUAUCUGAAGUUACUGUCAGUUUUCGUCAGACUGCAGUUUUAGGCAUGACUUCCUAUUUUGCGCGGCGUUUCAAAGUAACUUCAAGGAUGAAUCUGUCCAUGGGGCUAUGGAUGUAUUUUCAGUAUUUGGUUUGAAAUUUCCAUGGAGAAUUUUUUCUCAAAUUUUCGCUGAGUAUAGUGAAAGAUACAACCUUCUGAAUGCUGCUGCCCAUUGCGAGUUCUGUUCUGAACUUCUGACAGUUACUGUUUUCUGUAUUGAGAUUUGAGAGGCAUUUUAAAAUAUCUGUCUAGAGUACAAUUAACAUAGAUAUAAUUCAUUGUUUGAUCUUUCCACAGAGUAUGUAAGUACUAUUUUUUAUUGCGUCUACAAGGAGUAAUUUAACA
rnacentral:lncRNA from 1 species